UACGUAGGUGGCAAGCGUUGUCCGGAAUUAUUGGGCGUAAAGCGCGCGCAGGCGGUCCUUUAAGUCUGAUGUGAAAGCCCACGGCUCAACCGUGGAGGGUCAUUGGAAACUGGGGGACUUGAGUACAGAAGAGGAAGCGGAAUUCCACGUGUAGCGGAUGAAAUGCGUAGAGAUGUGGAGGAACACCAGUGGCGAAGGCGCUUUCUGG
rnacentral:rRNA from 1 species